UAACAAACCCAUAUAGGUGGCAACACGA
rnacentral:sRNA from 1 species